rnacentral:rRNA from 1 species
ACCCCUGUGAACAUACCAAUUGUUGCCUCGGCGGAUCAGCCCGCUCCCGGUAAAACGGGACGGCCCGCCAGAGGACCCCUAAACUCUGUUUCUAUAUGUAACUUCUGAGUAAAACCAUAAAUAAAUCAAAACUUUCAACAACGGAUCUCUUGGUUCUGGCAUCGAUGAAGAACGCAGCAAAAUGCGAUAAGUAAUGUGAAUUGCAGAAUUCAGUGAAUCAUCGAAUCUUUGAACGCACAUUGCGCCCGCCAGUAUUCUGGCGGGCAUGCCUGUUCGAGCGUCAUUUCAACCCUCAAGCCCCCGGGUUUGGUGUUGGGGAUCGGCGAGCCUCACGGCAAGCCGGCCCCGAAAUACAGUGGCGGUCUCGCUGCAGCUUCCAUUGCGUAGUAGUAAAACCCUCGCAACUGGUACGCGGCGCGGCCAAGCCGUUAAACCCCCAACUUCUGAAUGUUGACCUCGGAUCAGGUAGGAAUACCCGCUGAACUUAAGCAUAUCAAUAAGCCGGAGGAA